AGAGUUUGAUCCUGGCUCAGGAUAAACGCUGGCGGCGUGCCUAACACAUGCAAGUCGAACGUCCUACGCAAGUAGGGAGUGGCGGACGGGUGAGUACCACGUGGGCAAUCUACCUUUGGGUGAGGAAUACCGGCGAGAAAUCGCCGACAAUACCGCAUACACUCGGGCAACCGAGUAAAGUCGCAAGACGCCCGAGGAGGAACCUGCGCCCGAUUAGCUAGUUGGUGGGGUAAGAGCUUACCAAGGCGACGAUCGGUAGCUGGUCUGAGAGGAUGAUCAGCCACACUGGGAUUGAGAACGGCCCAGACUCCUACGGGGGGCAGCAGUGAGGAAUUUUCGUCAAUGGGGGCAACCCUGAACGAGCAACGCCGCGUGCAGGAAGACGCUUUUCGGAGUGUAAACUGCUUUUCUCGGGGAAGAGAACGGACGGUACCCGAGGAAGAAGCCUCGGCUAACUACGUGCCAGCAGCCGCGGUAAUACGUAGGAGGCGAGCGUUGUCCGGAGUUACUGGGCGUAAAGCGCACGCAGGCGGUGCACCAAGUCUGGAGUGACAGCGCUCGGCUUAACCGAGCAGGGUCUUUGGAAACUGGUGGACUUGAGGGCUUCAGAGGAAUGCGGAACUCCGGGUGGAGUGGUGAAAUGCGUAGAUAUCCGGAAGAACACCAAAGGCGAAGGCAGCAUUCUGGGAAGUACCUGACGCUCAGGUGCGAAAGCCAGGGGAGCGAACGGGAUUAGAUACCCCGGUAGUCCUGGCCGUAAACGAUGACCACUAGACGUUGGGGGUAUCGACCCCCUCAGUGUCGAAGCUAACGCGAGAAGUGGUCCGCCUGGGGAGUACGGUCGCAAGAUUAAAACUCAAAGGAAUUGACGGGGACCCGCACAAGCAGCGGAGCGUGUGGUUUAAUUCGAUGCAACGCGAAGAACCUUACCAAAGCUUGACAUGCUCUUGCACCAGCCGUAAUGGGCUGUCCUCUUCGGAGGCGGGAGCACAGGUGCUGCAUGGCUGUCGUCAGCUCGUGUCGUGAGAUGUUGGGUUCAGUCACGCAACGAGCGCAACCCCUGUCGGAUGUUAUCAGUCAUCCGAGACCGCCGCGAUGAACGUGGAGGAAGGAGGGGAUGACGUCAAGUCAGCACGGCCCUUACGCUUUGGGCGACACACACGCUACAAUGGUCGGGACAAAGGGCAGCGAACCAGCGAUGGGGAGCUAAUCCUGUCAAACCCGGCCUCAGUUCAGAUUGGAGGCUGCAACUCGCCUCCAUGAAGUCGGAGUUGCUAGUAACCGUGGGUCAGCACACCACGGUGAAUACGUUCCCGGGUCUUGUACACACCGCCCGUCACACCACGAAAGUCGGCAACACCUGAAGCCGUCKGGCUAACUCGCGAGAGAGGCWGGYGUCGA
rnacentral:rRNA from 1 species